rnacentral:rRNA from 1 species
UACGUAGGGUGCGAGCGUUAAUCGGAAUUACUGGGCGUAAAGCGUGCGCAGGCGGUAAUGUAAGACAGAUGUGAAAUCCCCGGGCUCAACCUGGGACCUGCAUUUGUGACUGCAUCGCUAGAGUACGGCAGAGGGGGAUGGAAUUCCGCGUGUAGCAGUGAAAUGCGUAGAUAUGCGGAGGAACACCGAUGGCGAAGGCAAUCCCCUGGGCCUGUACUGACGCUCAUGCACGAAAGCGUGGGGAGCAAACAGG